rnacentral:rRNA from 1 species
AUGAGGUACGGCGAGGUGGCGCACUUCAGCCACCCGCAGCACCGGCUCCGGCUGGAGCAACUGGACACGCCGUUCCGCUGCGACGGCUGCAAGGAGGUUGGCAUCGGCGCGCGUUACCGGUGCCCCGUCCAGGGCUGCGCCGCCGACCACGACCUCCACCGCCAAUGCGCGCUCCCGCUCUCCCCGCCGCCGCCGCCGCUCCGGCACCCGUUCUACCCCAAGUGCGCCUUCCACUUCAUGGCGCGCGCGCCGGGCGCCCCCGGGACGCGCUACUGCAACGCGUGCGGCCGCGACGUCGCCGGCUUCGUCUACCACUGCCGCGCCUGCGGCUUCGACCUGCACCCCUGCUGCGCCACGCUCCCGCACGCCCUCGACGCCAGCGACCGCGGAGGCAGAGUCGGCGUGAGGCUGUACCUGCACCCCAAGGCCGAGGCCGCGUGCCACCGGUGCGGCCACCGCGGGCGGAGCUGGACGUACCGGAGCCACUGCAAGAGCUACAGCCUCCACGUGGCGUGCGUCAUGGACAUGGUCGUCGAGAGCUGGAACGGCAUCGGGCGGAGCAAGGGCGCUAGCGCCGGAGGAAGGGGCGUGUACGACGGCGCGUUGGUGGCGGGGAGCGGCGGGUACAGGGUGCCGGUGAUAAGGGGCGCGGCGAAGAGCAGCCACGCGAGCAGGGGAGGGUCGUACUGGGGGAUGAGGAAGGGCAAGGUGAAGCGCUGCUGCGAGAUCGCCGGGUUCGCGGCGCAGGUGGUCAUCUCCGCGGUGCUCGGUGACCCCACCGCGCUCAUAGCCGGCGUCGUCGGCUCGCUCAUAGCGCGGUGA